CUGGCUCAGGACGAACGCUGGCGGCGUGCUUAACACAUGCAAGUCGAACGGGGCGAAGUGAUAGCUUGCUAUUAUGGAGCCUAGUGGCAAACGGGUGAGUAACGCGUAGGCAACCUGCCCUUCAGAUGGGGACAACACCUCGAAAGGGGUGCUAAUACCGAAUGACGUUUCCUGGUCGCAUGACCUGGAAACCAAAGGCCGGGCAACCGGUCACUGAAGGAUGGGCCUGCGCCUGAUUAGCUAGUUGGUGGGGUAACGGCCCACCAAGGCGACGAUCAGUAGCCGGUCUGAGAGGAUGAACGGCCACAUUGGGACUGAGACACGGCCCAAACUCCUACGGGAGGCAGCAGUGGGGAAUCUUCCGCAAUGGGCGCAAGCCUGACGGAGCAACGCCGCGUGAGUGAAGAAGGUUUUCGGAUCGUAAAGCUCUGUUGAGAGGGACGAGAGAUAUAAUCAGGAAAUGGGUUAUAGAGGACGGUACUCAACAAGGAAGUGACGGCUAACUACGUGCCAGCAGCCGCGGUAAAACGUAGGUCACAAGCGUUGUCCGGAAUUACUGGGUGUAAAGGGAGCGCAGGCGGGAAGACAAGUUGGAAGUGAAAUCUAUGGGCUCAACCCAUAAACUGCUUUCAAAACUGUUUUUCUUGAGUAGUGCAGAGGUAGGCGGAAUUCCCGGUGUAGCGGUGGAAUGCGUAGAUAUCGGGAGGAACACCAGUGGCGAAGGCGGCCUACUGGGCACCAACUGACGCUGAGGCUCGAAAGUGUGGGUAGCAAACAGGAUUAGAUACCCUGGUAGUCCACACCGUAAACGAUGAUUACUAGGUGUUGGAGGAUUGACCCCUUCAGUGCCGCAGUUAACACAAUAAGUAAUCCACCUGGGGAGUACGACCGCAAGGUUGAAACUCAAAGGAAUUGACGGGGGCCCGCACAAGCAGUGGAGUAUGUGGUUUAAUUCGACGCAACGCGAAGAACCUUACCAAGUCUUGACAUCCUGCGACGUGCAUAGAAAUAUGUAUUUCCUUCGGGACGCAGAGACAGGUGGUGCAUGGUUGUCGUCAGCUCGUGUCGUGAGAUGUUGGGUUAAGUCCCGCAACGAGCGCAACCCUUACUGUCAGUUACUACGCAGGAGGACUCUGGCAGGACUGCCGUUGACAAAACGGAGGAAGGUGGGGAUGACGUCAAAUCAUCAUGCCCUUUAUGACUUGGGCUACACACGUACUACAAUGGCGUUAAACAAAGAGAAGCAAGACCGCGAGGUGGAGCAAAACUCAGAAACAACGUCCCAGUUCGGACUGCAGGCUGCAACUCGCCUGCACGAAGUCGGAAUUGCUAGUAAUCGUGGAUCAGCAUGCCACGGUGAAUACGUUCCCGGGCCUUGCACACACCGCCCGU
rnacentral:rRNA from 1 species